rnacentral:lncRNA from 1 species
AGACAGGCUCAGCUCCCAGCUGCAACUGGCAGGUCUGAGGCUCAGUUCUCACAGAAGAGCAAACCCACCAAGGGCAGCGCUCGCCUCCGGAGCCAUGUGCUGGCCUGGGGAGCCUGCCACCUCGAGGGCCCAACAACUUCUCAGAGUGGGGGAGGGGCCCGGCAUCUCCUGAGCCGCAGCUCCCCGAAGCUCCUGGCUGAUAUCCACCGACCUGUGAUGUCAUCCACAAACACAUGGAAGGCAAAAGUGCCUCUCCCUGGGAAUGAAAGGGCAGGGGCUGGGCUAGUCACCGCAUGGGAAGCAGAAACCAGACACAGACAGAGAGAGCACCCAGAAGAAAUCAGAGCACAGCCAAACUUCUAAUCAGGAGAAGAAAAGCUAUGGAUUCCUUCAAAAUGAAUGAAAAUCAGAUUUGAUCAGGGGAGACCCCCUGAAGAUCCUGACUGCAGACAUGAAAGAAAUCAAGAAUACCAACAAAACAGACAGGUCAGCUCCAGGCAGCACCCCCAUUCUACUUCAUAGAAGAUGAUGAGCAUCGAGAACCUCUGUACGGAGUUUGCUUCAAAUGUGGCAAACAAGCCACUGGGCAAGAAACUGCCCUUGCUUCAGCCGCUGACAGUAUGCUGUCCAAACUGGACCAACAGGAUGCAGGAGUUGCCCUGGUCCCAGUGUCUCUUCACAACAGUGAACAGUGUCUAAACAGGUUUCAAAUUUUGAUUGGUUGGAUGAAGCAUCUAUCAAAAGAUGGCUUAUUGAAAGAGUUGGAGAUGCCUGAUACCCCUUGGCUUAGUGCUGCUGAAGGGAUUUUAAGGCUCAGGGAAUUGCAGUGCUCGAGUGGGUACGCUGUGUAAAACCUCCACAACGUGAAGGCCCAGAAGACACGCCCUUCACAAAUCCUGUAAGACACAAAAUGGUGCACCAGCACAUUUGAAGAGUUUUGCCCUUUUCCUUGUGCCAGACCUAAGGGCUGGAGAUGCUGCUGCUCAGUGGAUGAAUUAAAUGCAAUGGGUUUAACUGGGGCACAGAGUAGCAGGGCCAGGUGGCAGCACUGAAUUAACUAAGGCAAGGUGAUCAUAGUUAUUCCAAUGAGCAGCACAACAACAAAGCAAUGAUCGUAAUAGCCUGCCAUGAUGGUCAGCACAGGCAAAGUGAAUUUUAGGGUGGCAUGACUGGUAUGGACUUAGGUACUGGGUAACCAACCAUGGUGUUUCCAGGCAUGAAACAGGAAGCCUACUAUGUAAGAGGAAAAUUUCUCAAACAAAUAAAAGGCUUACAUUAAGUCAUGAUCAAGAGAGAAUCUCAACCUGUGAACCAAUUUCUAGAGUUGAGCCAGUUUGCAGACCCAGAUCUCCUUGAAUGAGGGAGUGGCCAAGUUCCACUGAUUAAGGACCUUGAUAAGACACCUAAAAGUUUUACUGUUAGUCUUUCUCCUGUCCUUCCCCAGAGGGACCUACGGGCUUUUAGAAGGGAAAUUGUACACGAGGGGAAGGAAACUAUCAGACUUCCUGAGGUCUACUGAAUGCUGUUCUGAACUGACCCUGGUUCUGGGAAACCCCUAGAGACAUGGUGGCCCAUCAGUUAAAGUCAGAGCUUAUGAUAGGAGCCAGGUGAUUAAUGGAGUUUAGGCUAAAGUCUGACUCAUAGUAGGCUCAGGGAGAGCCUGAAUUUCUCCUGUGGUUAUUUCCCAAGUCCCAGAAUGUAUAAUCGGGAUAGAUAUACUUAGAAGUUGGCAGAGUUCUCACACUGGUUCCCUGGUCUGUGGUGUGAGGGCUAUUAUGGCUGGAAAGGCUAAAUGGAAGUCUUUAGAGUUGCCUCUCUACCAUGGAAAAUAGUGAAUCCAGGAACAAGUGUCACCGUCAAGGACUUGGGAGACAAAGCGGGGAGAGGGGCUCCCAGGUCUCCCUUUAGCCCUCCUACCUGGCCUGUACAGAAUAUUUUGGUAAGAACCUGUUUGCACAGAUAUUUGUGUUUUCUUCACUAAGUUUCUUUAUCAUACAGUGUAUCAUCAAUUGAGAUAAUAUCAAUGGUUCUCACAUUUAAGUUAUGAGGUAUUAAAGUAACUUUCCUCAAAGGACAUUGCCACCUAUUCUAAAAUGUAUAAUGAAUUUGUGGUUGUACAUGUUCAAGUUAUAAAUUA